UACGGGGGGGACUAGUGUUAUUCAUCAUAACUGGGCGUAAAGGGUGUGUAGGUGGUUUUUCAAGUAGGAAUUAAAAAACCUGAGCAUAACUGAGAAACUAAGUACUAAACUAAAAAACUAGAGGGCAAAAGAGGUUCGUUGUAUUCUUAGUGGAGAGGUGAAAUUUUAAGAUACUAAGAGGACAUCCAAGAGGCAGAGGCGACAAACCACAAUGCUACUGACACUGAGGCCCAAAAGCAUGGGCAUCAAACAGG
rnacentral:rRNA from 1 species